rnacentral:rRNA from 1 species
GUGUCAGCAGCCGCGGUAAUACGGAGGGUGCAAGCGUUAUCCGGAUUCACUGGGUUUAAAGGGUGCGUAGGCGGGCUUGUAAGUCAGUGGUGAAAUCUCAGAGCUUAACUCUGAAACUGCCAUUGAUACUAUAGGUCUUGAAUUUUCUGGAGGUUAGCGGAAUAUGUCAUGUAGCGGUGAAAUGCUUAGAUAUGACAUAGAACACCGAUUGCGAAGGCAGCUGACUACGGAUGAAUUGACGCUGAUGCACGAAAGCGUGGGGAUCAAACAGGAUUAGAUACCCUGGUAGUCC